UACGUAGGGACCGAGCGUUGUCCGGAAUCAUUGGGCGUAAAGAGCGUGUAGGCGGCUUGCUAAGUCUUGCGUGAAAUCUCGGGGCUCAACCCCGAGCGGUCGUGGGAAACUGGCAGGCUAGAGUGCGGGAGAGGAGAAUGGAAUUCCUGGUGUAGCGGUGAAAUGCGCAGAUAUCAGGAGGAACACCAAUUGCGAAGGCAGCUCGCUGGGACGUUACUGACGCUGAGACGCGAAAGCGUGGGGAGCAAACAGG
rnacentral:rRNA from 1 species